ACCUGGCUGGCUCAGUUGGUGGAGCAUGUGACUUUUGAUCUCAGUGUUGUGGGUUCGAGCCCCACAUUGGGCU
rfam:Mustela putorius furo unplaced genomic scaffold scaffold00039, whole genome shotgun sequence.